rnacentral:rRNA from 1 species
AUACGGAGGAUCCGAGCGUUAUCCGGAUUUAUUGGGUUUAAAGGGUGCGUAGGUGGUUUGAUAAGUCAGCGGUGAAAGUUUGCAGCUUAACUGUAAAAAUGCCGUUGAAACUGUCGGACUUGAGUGUAAAUGAGGUAGGCGGAAUGCGUGGUGUAGCGGCGAAAUGCAUAGAUAUCACGCAGAACUCCGAUUGCGAAGGCAGCUUACUAAGCUACAACUGACACUGAAGCACGAAAGCGUGGGGAUCAAACAGGAUUAGAUACCCUGGUAGUCCACGCAGUAAACGAUGAUUACUAGCUGUUUGCGAUACACAGUAAGCGGCACAGCGAAAGCGUUAAGUAAUCCACCUGGGGAGUACGCCGGCAACGGUGAAACUCAAAGGAAUUGACGGGG